UUAUAGUGUAUUAUAUUUUUUGCUUAGUACUUCUAUUCCUGUGUGCACUGACGUGAUAGUGAGCUGCUGUAACAAAAGAGUUUCCCCUCUGGGAUCAAUAAAGUAUUUCUGAUUCUGAAGGCUGUGGAGGAAAGCUGGGUAAAUAAUAGGCGAAUAUGCAACAUCUGGACCUUAGGCAUGUUCAAUUGAUUAAUAUUAUAGUUAAGACAACAAGAGAUCAGUUGAAAAUAUAUAGAGAAUUUCUUCUUGGAAAAAAGAGCAAUAGCACUGAAUCUUUCCUUGAUAGAAAAGAUGUUUUGUUGUGUUGGUUGCUCCAUCUGAAAGUGAUUGUGUAAGAUACGAUGGUAAAUGGUAAAUGGACACAUUCACACACUGAAGGCACAGCCCUCGGGAACAAUUUGGGUUUCAGUUUCUUGCCCAAGGACACUUCGACAUGUGGGCUGUCUUGAGCUGAAGGAUAAAGGUGAACUGUCCCUUUAACAUGGGCGCUGACGUCACAGCGUGUUGUUGGGGUGUGCAUGAUGACGUCACCCAGAAGAGUGCUGUGUUGACGGAACUGUGGGCAUGACAGGCUGACAUGAGAGUGUUGGAAAGUUUUUCUUUGUUGUCUGUUCUGUGAAAAACAAUUCCUUUUAAUGUUUUUGUAGAGUGGCAACAGUCCGGUCAGAAUUUUAUUAAAGAAGGCUGGUUGUUGGGGGACCUCGCUGGAGUGUGGUGACGCUGCGACCGGCUACAUGUUGUGAGGCUGUAGUGGUCGAGUCGAUGGCAGGGACUGGAGUUGUCCUCAGAGGUGAUGGAGUCAGAGAACUGCAGCGGCGGCAAUGGACUAUCCUUUUCCUCUUUUUUCUGCUGACAGAGGUGGGCAAAGAAGAGACUGUGUAGGGGCUUGCUGGACUCACUUCGUGGACGGCUUUUGGAUCACGGAAAGCAGGGUCUCAGGCACUGAGGUGGCGGAGAAGUUUUCGGCUUCUGUUGCUGGGUCUGCUAUCGAGGGUUGAUGGAAACUUUGAACGUGGACAUCCUGAUUUCGUCCGAAUAAUUCAACGGCCGAUGGGGAUAGUGAGACGAAGUCCAUAUUCGAGAUGAGAUGAUUAAUUAGACUCUGCACCACAACCGGGACCAUCUGAUGCUCCGUGUCACCAUCGUCUCCCACGCACACAGGUGGUGUCUGAUGCAGUCCUGAGUCCUGAGUUUAUGGAAAUUUGAUGUAUCUGGGUGAUGAUCUGAUGAGGGCUUUGAUAACUAAGAGGAACGUGAGACUCACGGAAGACUGGGACACACCUGAUCUGUCUCCUAUCUCCCUUUGGAAAGUUCCUGUGGCCAGGAAUCCGAUUGUGGUGAGUACCUGGACAUGUGGUGAAUGGGGUUGGAUCAGCAUGUUUGUUUGCGGAUUUGCGGCUCUAACAAGUUACAGAUCUGUAGAAGCACGGCCUGUGGUUAUCUAAUCUACAACCAUUCAUCUGUCUCUGCCAAUAUAUCAGCAUGCUGUCUAAAGACGCGCUCUCUUCCAAGGGCCUGACGAGCCAAAGAAGUAAGUCAGCCAUGGUGCGCCUGGUUACACUUGACCUUAUUAUAUACAGAGACAAAUGAACCUUCAAUUAGGGCAUAAUUUAAGUGGUUUUGCAGUUUGAGAUGUUCAUAUUAAUAUUGUGUUAUACAAUAGCAUCAAUAGCCAAUUUAAAUUAAUAAUGAUAUUGUUAGGCUGUAUGAAUACAUUUAGAAUUAUAUUAUGAUUUGAAUUGCAGAAUCAAACAGGAUGUCAACAUAAUUAUGAAGUGUAAUUUAUAUAGUCUAUAUAGUCCUCUUUGUUCAAUUCUUAUUUUGUCACAUAUGUUGUUAUUAGUUUUAUGCUGUUUGUCUGUAUCUCACUGUUAUUGCUGCCUAUCUUGGCUAGAACAAAGAGAGAUUUUUAACCUCAGCAAGGCUUUCCUGGUUAAAUAAAGAUAAAAAAAGAAAAGAAUAACAGACAUGUGGCCUCCUCUUCAUCCCUGUGUUAGUUCUAUUAAAGCCAUGCUGAAUCAGUGCAUUUACUUCCCUUAACUCCUCCAGAGGCUCUGAGCAAGAUUUUCUAAAAACUACUCACAAAACUAUAAGUUUGACCCUGUCUCAACCUCGAAGUCAAACAGCUACUCAGUGUGUGCACUGACAAGACAAUGUGCGCGUGCACACACACACACACACAUAUAUAUAAAGAUGAACAUGUGUACUACAAACACACACAAAAGCAAGAAAACCAGCAAUGCUAACAGCCUUAACCAUUAUGACUCUGAUCCAACACCUCUAUCUAGAUAAGUUUCAUUUUCAAAAUAGAAAGUUAUUUGACUACUUUUUCGUGUUUUAUCUUUUACUUCUAAAACACGGGGUGGCUUUUAUUGUGACAAAGAAUUUUUUUGACAGCAGAUCAGUUGUAAUUGCAGGGAGUAAUGGAACAGUUAGGAGCAGGGACAGUGAGCUGUUAGAUGAAGAGCUGCACACCUCCAACUCCUCAGCAACCUGAGUUUGUUUGGCUGCACUGUAAACAGAUACGCCAGCUACUCUUCUGUUGUAUUUUUGAUGAAAAGUAGUUGCUCAACAAGUAUUAAACUGCACUUGCUGUUACCACUGUAACCAUGGGUGUCGCCAAAUCAAUCAGGUCAGAAAUCUUAAGGAUUAUAACUUUAACAAGACAGAACAAGAAAAUUAACAAGCCCUUCAUCAAAUAUUGUAUGCAAUUGUUUUCAUGGAAUUUAGACUAACCUUGAUUGUUAACAGUGUGACACAGGCGUAAUUUGUUUCACUUCCCAGUUUUCUGUCUAGUUGGGCAAUGUUUCUGUUGGGUAACAUGACAUCAGCUGCUUUAGCAGAGUGAGAAAACAAUUAGCUCAGCUGUUUCAAAGGAACUCUCAAAUUCAGACUCAUUCCAUUUGCCAAUGGCACAUUUGAAGGUCACAACCUCAAAUAUUUAUAAUGACAGGAUCACAUUCUGAACUAUCAGAAUCAGAAAUACUUUAUUGAUCCCCGAGGCCUCUGUGAUCUGUUUGUUCAAUGCCUUCUAUUAAUACCAUAAUACUUCAUUGACUAACAUAAGAUGUGUUGGUUAAAGUGCUGAAUAGUAUCCACUGUAACAAGCAACAACAUUUUCCUUGGGUUACCCAAAGCAAAUAACAUGACAUAUUGUCAUUUUGACACUAUUUUAAUAGUAUUUUAAUAUUUUAAUAGUCAUGUAUAAACCUUUGUGAAACUCUUCAUUUUUGUUGUAGACACUGUGUCAGGAAAGUCUUGAUUCAACACAUUUUCAAAUGUUAAACCACAUUUUACUGUCAACAAAGCUAAAAGAAUUGCAUUGCAACCACAGACUAUAAAAUGCAACAUUUCGUAUUCAACAUUUGUCGUUUUCCACAUUAACUGGUACUUGCUUGUCGUGACAUCUUGGAUUUACCGAGGGAUUUUAAAGUCACGUAUUGCCUGAAACUUCAGGCUUCUGCAAAAACAGCUAGAGGAGAAAAUUAACACAUGUUAACAGUCUCCCUACUUUGUUAUUCAGCUUGACAAAACAAAAAUAUGUCAGUAUUUUAGAGGUAGUCUUCACUGUCAUCUUUACUUUUUUUAUGUGAGAACUUACAGCUCAUGUCAUAACCUUACUGAUGUCCUCAAAAGUUUCUUUGUGAGCUUUUCACAUAAUAAAUAUCUGAUUUCACAAAUUUGACAUAACGUCAUAAAACGAGCCACCCACUAGACGACUUUUUAAAAAUACUUUUAUUGAAAAUAAUUUCUUGCACGAUACAUUUUAUGAAUACACUUAGAUUUAGUUUCAAGCCAUAAAUAUGCAAAAAGAGAACACGAAAAAUUAAAUAUAAUAUCAGGGACUGCUACAGCCAUUUUAAUAACAUCACAAAUAUAAAACGAGCCCAGAAGAGAAGAGAGAAGGCAGUUUUAAUUCGAAAAGAGACUGUAAAAGAAGGUUGGUAUGAAGCAUGCAAUGAAAGGAGUGCGAGUGUGGA